rnacentral:rRNA from 1 species
CAAUAGCGUAUAUUAAAGUUGUUGCAGUUAAAAAGCUCGUAGUUGGAUUUCUGGUGGGAGCGAUCGGUCUGGCGCUUAGCGCGAGUACUUGCAUCGUCUCCGGCCAUCCUUGGGGAGAGUCUGUCUGGCAUUAAGUUGUCGGGCAGAGGAUCCUCAUCGUUUACUGUGAAAAAAUUAGAGUGUUCAAAGCAGGCUUAUGCCGUUGAAUAUAUUAGCAUGGAGUAAUAAGAUAGGACUUUGGUACUAUUUUGUUGGUUUGCGCACCAAAGUAAUGAUUAAUAGGGACAGUUGGGGGUAUUCGUAUUCCGUUGUCAGAGGUGAAAUUCUUGGAUUUACGGAAGACGAACUACUGCGAAAGCAUUUACCAAGGAUGUUUUCAUUAA